rnacentral:tRNA from 1 species
GUCCUUGUCGAUUAGUGGUUAAAUCAUCACGUUGUGGCAAUCCAAACCGUGAAGCCGGAGGUUCGAAUCCUCCCUGGGACA